rnacentral:lncRNA from 1 species
GGGUGGGGGUGACAGAGAAGACGCGGCCAUUGUGCGAUCCUGGGCGCCCCCCCUCCGCGUCCAGCAGAUAUUGGGACCCCGGCCCUGGAAACCAGCCCUCGAGUGGCUCUCCCUCCUCUGAGAACAAGAUAAUUUAUCUCCCACUUUGAAUCUGUGGUCCCACCCCUCCCGUCUCCCGUCUAGACUUCCGAGCGCUGGCCUUCGCCGCCCCCACCCUGCUCCCCCCUCCCUCAGCCCCCAAGUGUCACUUUGUCCUUCACAACUAAGAUGGGGACUUGUGAUUCGUCCAGCUGACGGAGACGGGGGUCGGGGGACACCCUGAGACGGCAAAGUGUCCUUCUGCCGUCACUCCUCACCCCCCAACCCGGGACGCUCCCGAGUCCGGAGGUCAGUUCGACCUGGCGGGAGACUGGGGACCGCGCGCUCCUGUCCCAGCCUGUCUCUCUCUUCCUCUGGGGAUGAGGGUGGCCGGGAGGAACAAUAGCUUCCCUCGCCCCUUCUUCCUGCCUCAGGGAGAGCGGCGGGAGAAAGAAAGAGCGAGGCGAGCGGAAUUCUUGAAUGGACGGACCGAUGCUACGUCACCGUCACCGGGCCGCACCCCCGCGCCACGGGAGGCUGGGAGCCGCGAGAGAGGCAGUCGGGCGGGCGGCAGGGGCCGCCGAGCCGCCUCUCCUCCUCCCAGAAGCCGGGGCUGGGCGUCCGGAAGCAGCGGCCUCGGUCCGGUGUCACCGUCAUCGUGGGCGACCACCUUGGCUUUUAGGCUUCUCACCUGGGGCGGGUGGGUGCUUGUCACCCUCCCGCCCGCUUUCCUCCACUCCUGGGCCAGAGCCGCGUCCAGCACCACGGACAGCUCCCGGGCGGUGAGUAGCCGGCCUGCAGGCCCCCUUUGGGAGGCUUACGAGGGGGUCUUCUCUCGGUCUCUAGAUUUUGUAAUCUGUGGGGACUGUUUGCAGGCAGCUGCGGGGUCUCAGGAAGAGGGAAAAGCUGAGGGCAGUUGGCAUUCCAUCUCCAGGAAAUUGGGUCUGUCCUCUUCGGGGAGUGGGAACUGA